rnacentral:rRNA from 1 species
GAUGAACGCUGGCGGCGUGCUUAACACAUGCAAGUCGAACGGAGGACCCUUGAAGGAGUUUUCGGACAACUGAUAGGAAUCCUUAGUGGCGGACGGGUGAGUAACGCGUGAGUAACCUGCCUUGGAGUGGGGAAUAACAGCUGGAAACAGCUGCUAAUACCGCAUAAUAUAUCUGGGUCGCAUGGCUCUGGAUAUCAAAGAUUUAUCGCUCUGAGAUGGACUCGCGUCUGAUUAGCUAGUUGGUGGGGCAACGGCCCACCAAGGCGACGAUCAGUAGCCGGACUGAGAGGUUGGCCGGCCACAUUGGGACUGAGACACGGCCCAG